rnacentral:rRNA from 1 species
GAUGGACGCUGGCGGCGUGCCUAAUACAUGCAAGUCGAGCGAACAGACGAGAGUGCUUGCACUCUCUGACGUUAGCGGCGGACGGGUGAGUAACACGUGGGUAACCUACCUAUAAGACUGGGAUAACUUCGGGAAACCGGAGCUAAUACCGGAUAAUAUUUAGCUUCGCAUGAAGCAAUAGUGAAAGACGGUUCUGCUGUCACUUAUAGAUGGACCCGCGGUGUAUUAGCUAGUUGGUGAGGUAACGGCUCACCAAGGCAACGAUACAUAGCCGACCUGAGAGGGUGAUCGGCCACACUGGGACUGAGACACGGCCCAGACUCCUACGGGAGGCAGCAGUAGGGAAUCUUCCGCAAUGGACGAAAGUCUGACGGAGCAAUGCCGCGUGAGUGAAGAAGGUUUUCGGAUCGUAAAACUCUGUUGUAAGGGAAGAACAAGCACGUUAGUAACUGAACGUACCUUGACGGUACCUUACCAGAAAGCCACGGCUAACUACGUG